rnacentral:lncRNA from 1 species
AAAGCUAUAGGGCCAAAGUGCUCCAGCAGAUCCUCUCCAGGCAUUUCCUUCUCCUUCCAAGGCUUUUCCUCAUCAACUGCUUAUUGUGUAAACUGUGUUUGAACAUAAUAGCUGUGCUAGAGGUGGGACACUACAGGACAGAGUUGUGUGUUAGCAACAACAGAAGGAGGAGCUUCUAGGUGAGCUAUUACAGGAGGAGAUAAAAAG